rnacentral:lncRNA from 1 species
UUUUUUUGUGUUAAAAGACAUUUUUAUUCCACCCUUAAGCAACAGUGUUUCCAAAAUUUCUUCAUAGGCUCUAAGAGGAGGCAUGUGGUAAGGCCAAGAUUUGGGAAACUUGAAGUUCCUGUUGUGACUCAGCAGUUAAGGAACCCAACUAGUGUCCAUGAGGAGACUGUAAGCACACCAAGGGGAGUUUCUGGACGACUAGAGGACAUCUGAGGAGCACGGCUAAGCCCCAAACCUUCCUUAGGACUACUGUGAACCCCUAUACUUCUGCAGCUACAGUUCCAAAUUUCUGGGCUCCGUCCCAACAAAACGUCUAGAAAAAUUUGCUCUAUUUUUGAUCCUCGUUUUUUUUUUUUUUUUUUUUUUUUUUCUCAUUUCAGAACAGUGAUGGCUUUUCCAGGUAAAGCAUCUUGUUACCUUAUAAGUUUCAUUAAAUAGAUGGCCUUUGAACUAGACCUUGCAGAAUGGGUAAAAUUUAUUUUGGAAAAGAAGUGAAAGAGGGCUAUCAGAGAGUGUUUUCAUGAAUGUAUAAGCCUGGAAUCUGGAUGUCUUUGAUAAGGAGCGAUAAAAGGGUACAUUUGGGUGUGGAUUAAUUCACUUACUCAGUAUAUACAUAUAUAUAGAAACCACAAUUUGAUACGGGAAAUAUAGCAAAGGAUUAGACCUGGUCCAGCUCUCAUGAUGUUCAGAGACAGUGAUGGUUCCGGGGGCAGAGAGACGCAGUGGACAUCAAGAGGUGGGCUAAUUCAUUAUUUGAAGACUCUUCAAUGACACACAAAGGAGUUUGAAUUUUAUCCCAUCACUACUCAUAACAGCACUUUUUUUGACACUAAUCACAUGCUGGGCAGUAUUCACUAUUUAUUAUGUAACAACCUUAUGGUAUAGAGAGAUAUUUUACUGACAGGGAGACUGAAGCAUGGAGUAGGUACCUAACUUGGCUAAGGACUCAGAGCUAAUAAGAGGUAGAGUCAGGAUUGAGUCCAGGUAUUUUGGCUUCAGAGUCUAUAGUCUUAUCAUUUGUAAAUAUAUAAUAUGUGGCUAAAGCGAAGCUUUUUUAUAUGAAAAAAGUAAAACAAGGUUAAUGAUGUUGGGAAAAAUCAUUGGAAGAUGCAGCAGUGUGUAUCAGAGCCUGGACUAGACUCCACAAGGCUUUAGGUCCAUUGCUGCUUCUGCUCCACAUAGAGUGUGCACUAGUGUGCAAAAACUUUGUGGA